rnacentral:rRNA from 1 species
AGGUAAAUGGGGGGCAGCCUGAGCAGCGACGCCGCGUGGGUGAGAAGGUCUUCGGAUCGUAAAGCCCUUUUCUGCGGGAAGAGGAAGGACGGUACCGCAGGAAAAAGUCUCGGCUAUCUCCGUGCCACCACCCCCGGUAAAAUACGUGCCACCAGCCGCGAUAAUAAGGUCCUGAUCGCCGGCCGCGUGUGUGAAGAAGGUCUUCGGAUUGUAAAGCGCUGGUCGGCGGGGGGGGGGGGGAUUGCCCCGACAAGAUUGGCUGUGCAGAACGGAUGCACGGACGAGCGGCGAAAUGUGAGGGCGGAGGGA